rnacentral:rRNA from 1 species
CAGUCGCCGCGGGAAUACGGAGGGUGCAAGCGUUAAUCGGAAUUACUGGGCGUAAAGCGCACGCAGGCGGCUUCUUAAGUCGGAUGUGAAAUCCCUGAGCUUAACUUAGGAAUUGCAUUCGAUACUGGGAAGCUAGAGUAUGGGAGAGGAUGGUAGAAUUCCAGGUGUAGCGGUGAAAUGCGUAGAGAUCUGGAGGAAUACCGAUGGCGAAGGCAGCCAUCUGGCCUAAUACUGACGCUGAGGUACGAAAGCAUGGGGAGCAAACAGGAUUAGAUACCCGAGUAGUCCCUGUCUCUUAUAC